AAAUCAUCAUGCCCCUUAUGACCUGGGCUACACACGUGCUACAAUGGGCGGUACAAAGGGUCGCGAACCCGCGAGGGGGAGCCAAUCCCAAAAAGCCGCUCUCAGUUCGGAUUGCAGGCUGCAACUCGCCUGCAUGAAGCCGGAAUCGCUAGUAAUCGCGGAUCAGCAUGCCGCGGUGAAUACCGUUCCCGGGCCUU
rnacentral:rRNA from 1 species